rnacentral:rRNA from 1 species
UGGGGAUUAUUGCACAAUGGGGGAAACCCUGAUGCAGCGACGCCGCGUGAGCGAUGAAGGCUUUCGAGUCGUAAAGCUUUUUCCUAGGGGAAGAUAAUGACGGUAUUAUAGGAGGAAGCCCCGGCUAAAUACGUGCCAGCAGCCGCGGUAAUACGUAGGGGGCGAGCGUUGUCCGGAAUUAUUGGGCGUAAAGGGUACGUAGGCGGUCUAUUAAGUCAGGUGUGAAAGCGUGAGGCUUAACCUCAUUAAGCACUUGAAACUGAUAGACUUGAGUGAAGGGGAGGAAAGUGGAAUUCCUAGUGUAGCGGUGAGAUGCGUAGAUAUUAGGAGGAAUACCGGUGGCGAAGGCGACUUUCUGGGCUUUUACUGACGCUCAGGUACGAAAGCGUGGGGAGCAAACAGG